AUGUUUUUGUUUCUGAGUGUUUGUGAAUCUAUCAGUUUUCUAGGUCUGUAUCUUUUUGGAGUAAAAAGUGUUUGGAGGUUCUCUUGGUUUUUAAAAGCGUUAGCUUCCCUCGCCAUAGCGCAAGGUGACGUCUACCGAUGUCCUUUUGCCUCAGGGCCUCAUGGGGUGGCAGCAUUCAUAUAUAGUUAGAGCCUUUAUAGGUUGUCUCUAAGAGCAUCUCCAAAAUCAACCUUAUUUUUAAGGUCGGAAGAACCUCAAAUUUAGGUUUGGGGGGUGUUUCUUCCUAGUGGUAAAACCUUAAGUCUAACCUUAAAAGAAAUUUAUAUUUGCAUUUUUGUCCCCGAUAUUAAUCAAAACUGAUUAAAGUUAUCAAAACUUUUAUAUAUAAUAUAAAAUAUGUUAAAGUAAUAUUAGUGAAAAUAUUGAUUAAUAAAACACUAUGUUAUAAUAAAUAAUAACUAAAAACUUAAUUAAAUCAUUAACUACAAAUAAAAUACUAAAUCACUCAAUAUAAUAAUUUUGUAAUGUUUUUAUAUAUGAUCAAUUAAUCAAAUUUAAAAUAAAUAUUAACUUUUUAAGAGUUAUAUAUCAGUUAUGAACUAAAGUAGUAUUUACAUCUGUAAUAUUAAUGAAGUAUAAAAUUUAUAAGGACUAAAAUGAUAGAUAUUAAAGUUAACAAGAUUAUUUAGUAGACAAAUAAUUUUGAGGACUUUAAAAAUAUGAAACAUCAAAUAUAAGGUUUUGAGGUUUCACUGUACAAAACCAUAUAAUUUGAAGUUUUGAGGUUGCUCUUAGAGAACAUAAAACCUUAUAUU
rnacentral:lncRNA from 1 species